rnacentral:tRNA from 1 species
UAACUAAUGAACUUGAAUAAGUAUAUAUUUUGAAAAUAUAAGAAAGAGUUAAUUAAAUCUCUAUUAGUU